UCCCAAGCCUUUUACUGCCUCUGGUGUGUU
rnacentral:piRNA from 1 species